UACGUAGGCGGCAAGCGUUGUCCGGAAUUAUUGGGCGUAAAGCGCGCGCAGGCGGUCCUUUACGUCUGAUGUGAAAGCCCACGGCUCAACCGUGGAGGGUCAUUGGAAACUGGGGGACUUGCGUGAAGAAGAGGAAAGUGGAAUUCCACGUGUAGUGGUGAAAUGCGUAGAGAUGUGGAGGAACACCAGUGGCGAAGGCGACUUUCUGGUCUGUAACUGACGCUGAGGCGAGAAAGCGUGGGGAGCAAACAGG
rnacentral:misc_RNA from 1 species